rnacentral:rRNA from 1 species
AGUGAACGCUGGCGGUAGGCCUAACACAUGCAAGUCGAACGGCAGCACAGUAAGAGCUUGCUCUUACGGGUGGCGAGUGGCGGACGGGUGAGGAAUACAUCGGAAUCUACUUUUUCGUGGGGGAUAACGUGGGGAAACUUACGCUAAUACCGCAUACGACCUACGGGUGAAAGCAGGGGAUCUUCGGACCUUGCGCGAUUGAAUGAGCCGAUGUCGGAUUAGCUAGUUGGCGGGGUAAAGGCCCACCAAGGCGACGAUCCGUAGCUGGUCUGAGAGGAUGAUCAGCCACACUGGAAAUGAGACACGGUCCAGACUCCUACGGGAGGCAGCAGUGGGGAAUAUUGGACAAUGGGCGCAAGCCUGAUCCAGCCAUACCGCGUGGGUGAAGAAGGCCUUCGGGUUGUAAAGCCCUUUUGUUGGGAAAGAAAAGCAGCAGGUUAAUACCCCGCUGUUCUGACGGUACCCAAAGAAUAAGCACCGGCUAACUUCGU